AAGUCGUAACAAGGUUUCCGUAGAUGAUUCUGCGGAAGGUUCAUUACCGAGAGCGGGGCUUCGCGCCCCCGGGGCAGUUUCGACUCCCCUACUCUUCAAGCCUGGGUGUCCCAACCGUUGUUGCUUUGGCGAGAGCAGAGGUGCCCUGCGCCUCGGCCCCGGUUUCGGCCGGUGCGCUCUCGUCGGAGCCCGAUUUCCACUCUGAUUUCAGUGACGUCCGAGCCAUACACCAUUCAGUUAAAACUUUCAACAACAGAUCUCUUGGUUCUGGGAUCGAUAAAGAACGCAGCGCAAUGGGAUAACUAAUGCGAAUUGUGGAAUUCCGUGAAUCAUCGAAUCUUUGAACCCAUAUUGCGCCCCUUGCCAUUCCGAGACGCAUGCCUGUUCCAGCGUCAUUAAACCCCUCAAGCUUGCNUUGANAUUGAGCCCUCGCCGGCGACGGCGUGCUCGCAAACUAGUGGCGGUCCAGGACGACUUCAAGCGCAGAUNAUCUUUUCGCUUCNGAGGCGCGCCUGCGGCCCANNCGNGAACCCNAUCAUUUUCGACUACUUGACCUCGGAUCAGGUAGGGAUACCCGCUGAACUUAAGCAUAUGMAUAAGCGGAGGAAAGAAACCCACAGGGAUUGCCUCAGUAACGGCGAGUGAAGCGGCAACAGCUCAAAUUUGAAAUCUGGCUCCUUCGGGGUUCGAGUUGUAAUUUGUAGAGGAUGUUUCGGGCGAGGCGCCGGUCUAAGUCCCUUGGAACGGGGCGUCAUAGAGGGUGAGAAUCCCGUCUGCGACCGGUGGUCGAGUCCAUGUGAAACCCCUUCGGCGAGUCGAGUUGUUUGGGAAUGCAGCUCAAAAUGGGUGGUAAAUUUCAUCUAAAGCUAAAUUCCGGCCAGAGGCCGAUAGCGCACAAGUAGAGUGAUCGAAAGAUGAAAAGCCCUUUGGAAAGAGAGUCAAACAGUACGUGAAAUUGUUGAAAGGGAAGCGCUUGCGACCAGACCUGCCCGCGGGUGAUCAGCCGUCCUUCUGGGCGGUGCACUCGCCCUCGAUCACACCAGCAUCGGUUCGGGCGGCCGGAUAAAGGCCUUGGGAACGUGGCUCCUCUUCGGGGGAGUGUUAUAGCCCUCGGCGCAAUGCGGCCAGCCCGGACCGAGGACCGCGCUUCGGCUAGGAUGCUGGCGUGAUGGUCGCAAGCGGCC
rnacentral:rRNA from 1 species